CCCUCUUCUCUCCCUCGUCCGCAGGCCCCUCCUAACUCCCAAUCGCCGCCACCUACUACCUCGCCUCCCUCCUCCCACAACUCUCCGUCAGCGAGCAGUAGAGGAGCCCGCCCCCGCUGCCGGCCGCCUACACGCCGGUGUGCCCUUCCUCACCCCAGCGGCGGCGCUCGGAUCUCGCCCCGCCCUGCCGCGGCAGAAGACCAAGCCGGCGAAUUCGCUCCUCCGCCCGAUUCACCUCCACCCAGGCCGCCUCUCGCCUUCACCCGCCCUCGACGCGCAGGGAUUCCCGCAUUCGUUCAGAUGGACGCGGAGGACGCACUGGGCUUCUGGGAGGACGGCGCCAUCCGCUUUAUCUUCGGCGAGGAUGUGGACGCCAGAGUAGAUACGACGGCGGCACCGGUGCGAGUGCCUUCGACAGGUCGCUCAUGGAGCUCCGCGUCUUCUAGGAGGUCUUCUCCAGGGUGUCGGGCAGAAGGAGGGCGAUGUCUGAUUCUGUAGGUACAUGCUUGUUCUUAUCUGCAGUUUUAUUGCAUGUAUUGAGAAAAAGUGCCAUGGCUGCCACCUCCCAUGUCCUCCGUCCGCCUCAUCAUCCCCGGUAUGAUUGCAUAGUGGGCUACUUGGUGCUUCCAAUAACAAUCAGCAUGGCAUGAUACAUAGUUUCCAUCAGGAGGGCCGACGCCAAGAUGAAUAAUAACUUCAAUAGUUUAAAUGUUCUCUUUGUGUGAGCUGGAUUGUACUAUUUCCUAACUUUGUUGAGUGAUAUUUUGUCAACCUAUAUUGUAAAAUUAUCAUUUCCUGAUAAUUUUGUAAACUUCUAUAUUGUAAAUACCUGUGGAUGAUUGCAUGUUGAUUCAUAUAUGUAUGUAUGAAACUUUGGAAAUACUUUGUCU